AAGCAGUGGGAGCACAGGUUUACCUGUGUGACUGCGUACCUUUUGUAUAAUGGGUCAGCGACUUAUAUUCUGUAGCAAGGUUAACCGUAUAGGGGAGCCGUAGGGAAACCGAGUCUUAACCGGGCGUUAAGUUGCAGGGUAUAGACCCGAAACCCGGUGAUCUAGCCAUGGGCAGGUUGAAGGUUGGGUAACACUAACUGGAGGACCGAACCGACUAAUGUUGAAAAAUUAGCGGAUGACCUGUGGCUGGGGGUGAAAGGCCAAUCAAACCGGGAGAUAGCUGGUUCUCCCCGAAAGCUAUUUAGGUAGCGCCUCGUGAAUUCAUCUCCGGGGGUAGAGCACUGUUUCGGCUAGGGGGCCAUCCCGGCUUACCAACCCGAUGCAAACUGCGAAUACCGGAGAAUGUUAUCACGGGAGACACACGGCGGGUGCUAACGUCCGUCGUGAAGAGGGAAACAACCCAGACCGCCAGCUAAGGUCCCAAAGUCAUGGUUAAGUGGGAAACGAUGUGGGAAGGCCCAGACAGCCAGGAUGUUGGCUUAGAAGCAGCCAUCAUUUAAAGAAAGCGUAAUAGCUCACUGGUCGAGUCGGCCUGCGCGGAAGAUGUAACGGGGCUAAACCAUGCACCGAAGCUGCGGCAGCGAACGUAUCACCCAAGACAACUUUACGGAGUUGACGAUUGACGGAGCGAAGCGACGUCAAAGCGUUCAUUAAAGUCGAGUUGGCUUAGGGAUACGUUCGUUGGGUAGGGGAGCGUUCUGUAAGCCUGUGAAGGUGUGUCGUGAGGCAUGCUGGAGGUAUCAGAAGUGCGAAUGCUGACAUAAGUAACGAUAAAGCGGGUGAAAAGCCCGCUCGCCGGAAGACCAAGGGUUCCUGUCCAACGUUAAUCGGGGCAGGGUGAGUCGACCCCUAAGGCGAGGCCGAAAGGCGUAGUCGAUGGGAAACGGGUUAAUAUUCCCGUACUUGGUGUUACUGCGAAGGGGGGACGGAGAAGGCUAUGUUGGCCGGGCGACGGUUGUCCCGGUUUAAGCGUGUAGGUGUGUGUUCCAGGUAAAUCCGGUU
rnacentral:rRNA from 1 species